CUGUGUUGAAUACUCGAUUAUGAUUGGUAAAUCACGGCAUUCGACCGUUGCUAUGUAUAACAGACCGUUGCUAUGUAUAGCAGACCGUUGCUACGUAUAGCAGAGCAUUGCUACGUACAGCAGAGCGUUGCUACGUACAGCAGAGCGUUGCUACGUACAGCAGAGCGUUGCUACGUACAGCAGACCGUUGCUAUGUAUAACAGACCGUUGCUAUGUAUAGCAGACCGUUGCUACGUAUAACAGACCGUUGCUACGUACAGCAGACCGUUGCUACGUAUAACAGACCGUUGCUACGUACAGCAGACCGUUGCUAAGUAUAGCAGACCGUUGCUACGUAUAGCAGACCGUUGCUACGUAUAGCAGACCGUUGCUACGUAUAGCAGAGCGUUGCUACGUACAGCAGAGCGUUGCUACGUACAGCAGAGCGUUGCUACGUACAGCAGAGCGUUGCUACGUACAGCAGACCGUUGCUAUGUAUAACAGACCGUUGCUAUGUAUAGCAGACCGUUGCUACGUAUAACAGACCGUUGCUACGUACAGCAGACCGUUGCUACGUAUAACAGACCGUUG